rnacentral:rRNA from 1 species
CUACGUGCCAGCAGCCGCGGUAAUACGUAGGUCCCGAGCGUUGUCCGGAUUUAUUGGGCGUAAAGCGAGCGCAGGCGGUUAGAUAAGUCUGAAGUUAAAGGCUGUGGCUCAACCAUAGUUCGCUUUGGAAACUGUCAAACUUGAGUGCAGAAGGGGAGAGUGGAAUUCCAUGUGUAGCGGUGAAAUGCGUAGAUAUAUGGAGGAACACCGGUGGCGAAAGCGGCUCUCUGGUCUGUAACUGACGCUGAGGCUCGAAAGCGUGGGGAGCGAACAGGAUUAGAUACCCUGGUAGUCCACGCCGUAAACGAUGAGUGCUAGGUGUUAGGCCCUUUCCGGGGCUUAGUGCCGCAGCUAACGCAUUAAGCACUCCGCCUGGGGAGUACGACCGCAAGGUUGAAACUCAAAGGAAUUGACGGGGGCCCGCACAAGCGGUGGAGCAUGUGGUUUAAUUCGAAGCAACGCGAAGAACCUUACCAGGUCUUGACAUCCCUCUGACCACUCUAGAGAUAGAGUUUUCUUCGGGACAGAGG